rnacentral:lncRNA from 1 species
GCCUAGCAGGCUCUUCGCGCCUUGUCCGCUUCUGUCUGAGGCGCCUCUCCUGACACUGCUGCCCUGCCCUUCGCCCCUGGGGCCUCCUCGGGCACCCCACAGACUGUUGUCCCCUCAGCGGCGCACUCCUCUGCCGCCCCGUCGGUCCGCCUCAGGCCGGGCCCCACUGCCCACAGCCUCCCCUCAGCGGCGGCCACCUCGGGGGCCACCAUCUUUGCUGUCGACGCCACAGCCUGAUCGCCGCCCCAGUUGAGGUACCGCCUGGCGCCAUGUCUGCCGCAGGAGAAGGAGACCUGGCCGCAGGUGGCCUGGACAGGCCUGUGGGCGUGCCGGGGGCGUGGGCCCUGGCGGCGGGCUGGUCGGCGACUCGGGGCCCCAGGGGGCGGCGAGAGUCACGGCGGCGGCGGCGGGAGCCCUCGGGGAGGCGGCGGGGGAGCCGGGGGCCGGCGGCCCGGAGGGCGGGAGCGCCGAGGAGGACUCGGACAUCGAGCCGGCAGAGGAGGGCGAGGAGGCGGCGGCGGGCCGCCUGGCGGUGGACGCGGCGCAGUUCCCGCGGGCGAGCUUACGCCUCCUGUUCCUGGAGUUCGCGCAGUUACUGCUGCGCCGCCUCUUCUACAAGAACCACGUGCUGCUACGGCCCUGGCCUCCAGCGCCCGACGGCUAGGCCCAGCGCCCCGCGCCCCGCGGGCCGGCGCCGCCAGAGCCGGCCGCCUGCGCCCUGCCGCCUGGUCCAGAGCCCGGGUGAGGGCCGCGACCCAGGAGCCGGGGGCGGAGGCCGCCGCCCCGGAGGAAACAACUAAAUAUCGGUGUGAAAACUCGAAUGAAGAGGCCCACGACGCUGAAGACAAGGACGAAAAAGAGAGAGUUUAACAAAAAACAAGAAGGACCCGAAAACGCUCUGGACCCCACAGACAGCACACCGAGAAAAUCCAGUUGGGAGGAAUAGAAAGAAGAUGGAGAAAGAAGAACGAACCUGCUCUUCACCCUUUAGGUUUUUCGUUUUUUAGAAGCCCAAGGGAAUUUUAUCAACA